UUGAAUACCAGUCUAAUAAAGUUGUGUUGUAUCGAGGUCUCCGGUUUGAAUACCAGUCUAAUAAAGUUGUGUUGUAUCGAGGUCUCCGGUUUGAAUACCAGUCUAAUAAAGUUGUGUUGUAUCGAGGUCUCCAGUUUGAAUACCAGUCUAAUAAAGUUGUGUUGUAUCGAGGUCUCCGGUUUGAAUACCAGUCUAAUAAAGUUGUGUUGUAUCGAGGUCUCCGGUUUGAAUACCAGUCUAAUAAAGUUGUGUUGUAUCGAGGUCUCCGGUUUGAAUACCAGUCUAAUAAAGUUGUGUUGUAUCGAGGUCUCCGGUUUGAAUACCAGUCUAAUAAAGUUGUGUUGUAUCGAGGUCUCCGGUUUGAAUACCAGUCUAAUAAAGUUGUGUUGUAUCGAGGUCUCCGGUUUGAAUACCAGUCUAAUAAAGUUGUGUUGUAUCGAGGUCUCCGGUUUGAAUACCAGUCUAAUAAAGUUGUGUUGUAUCGAGGUCUCCGGUUUGAAUACCAGUCUAAUAAAGUUGUGUUGUAUCGAGGUCUCCGGUUUGAAUACCAGUCUAAUAAAGUUGUGUUGUAUCGAGGUCUCCGGUUUGAAUACCAGUCUAAUAAAGUUGUGUUGUAUCGAGGUCUCCGGUUUGAAUACCAGUCUAAUAAAGUUGUGUUGUAUCGAGGUCUCCGGUUUGAAUACCAGUCUAAUAAAGUUGUGUUGUAUCGAGGUCUCCAGUUUGAAUACCAG